UAUGCACAAUACUUGAUUUAUUGUUGCGCAUAUUUUGGCCGUGCCCAUCUUGACCGUAGCAUUAGAGACCGCAUUUAGCACAAGAGGUCGUGUGCUUGAUGUGUUUCGUAGCUCGUUGACCCCAAGCAUGGUGGAGGCUCUUAUAUGUGCUCAAGAUUGGUUAUG